GUCCCUGUACCUCAGUGUUAGAGGGAUCGUCUCUAAAACGAAUAGUCGUGGGUUCAAAUCCCACCAGGGGCGCCA
rnacentral:tRNA from 1 species